GAUGAACGCUGGCGGCGUGCUUAACACAUGCAAGUCGAGCGGUAAGGCCCUUUCGGGGGUACGACGAGCGGCGAACGGGUGAGUAACACGUGGGUGACCUGCCCUCAGCUCUGGGAUAAGCCUGGGAAACCGGGUCUAAUACCGGAUAUGACUCCAUGACGCAUGUUGUGGGGUGGAAAGCCUUGUGCGGCUGAGGAUGGGCCCGCGGCCUAUCAGCUUGUUGGUGGGGUGANGGCCUACCAAGGCGACGACGGGUAGCCGGCCUGAGAGGGCGACCGGCCACACUGGGACUGAGACACGGCCCAGACUCCUACGGGAGGCAGCAGUGGGGAAUCUUGCGCAAUGGGCGAAAGCCUGACGCAGCGACGCCGCGUGAGGGAUGACGGCC
rnacentral:rRNA from 1 species